rnacentral:rRNA from 1 species
UACGAAGGGGGCGAGCGUUGUUCGGAUUUACUGGGCGUAAAGGGCGCGUAGGCGGCCCUCUUUGUCGCGUGUGAAAGCCCCGGGCUCAACCUGGGAAUGGCGCGCGAAACGGGGGGGCUUGAGUUCGGGAGAGGAGCGUGGAAUUCCCAGUGUAGAGGUGAAAUUCGUAGAUAUUGGGAAGAACACCGGUGGCGAAGGCGGCGCUCUGGACCGAGACUGACGCUGAGGCGCGAAAGCGUGGGGAGCAAACAGG